rnacentral:rRNA from 1 species
UAAGCGACUAAGCGUACACGGUGGAUGCCCUGGCAGUCAGAGGCGAUGAAGGACGUGCUAAUCUGCGAUAAGCGUCGGUAAGGUGAUAUGAACCGUUAUAACCGGCGAUUUCCGAAUGGGGAAACCCAGCGUGAUUCGUCACACUAUCAUUAACUGAAUCCAUAGGUUAAUGAGGCGAACCGGGGGAACUGAAACAUCUAAGUACCCCGAGGAAAGAAAUCAACCGAGAUUCCCCCAGUAGCGGCGAGCAACGGGGAGCAGCCCAGAGCCUGAAUCAGUGUGUGUGUUAGUGGAAGCGUCUGGAAAGGCGUGCGAUACAGGGUGACAGCCCCGUACACAAAAAUGCACAUACUGUGAGCUCGAUGAGUAGGGCGGGACACGUGGUAUCCUGUCUGAAUAUGGGGGGACCAUCCUCCAAGGCUAAAUACUCCUGACUGACCGAUAGUGAACCAGUACCGUGAGGGAAAGGCGAAAGAACCCCGGCGAGGGAGUGAAAAAGAACCUGAAACCGUGUACGUACAAGCAGUGGGAGCACGCUUAGGCGUGUGACUGCGUACCUUUUGUAUAAUGGGUCAGCGACUUAUAUUCUGUAGCAAGGUUAACCGAAUAGGGGAGCCGAAGGGAAACCGAGUCUUAACUGGGCGUUAAGUUGCAGGGUAUAGACCCGAAACCCGGUGAUCUAGCCAUGGGCAGGUUGAAGGUUGGGUAACACUAACUGGAGGACCGAACCGACUAAUGUUGAAAAAUUAGCGGAUGACUUGUGGCUGGGGGUGAAAGGCCAAUCAAACCGGGAGAUAGCUGGUUCUCCCCGAAAGCUAUUUAGGUAGCGCCUCGUGAAUUCAUCUCCGGGGGUAGAGCACUGUUUCGGCAAGGGGGUCAUCCCGACUUACCAACCCGAUGCAAACUGCGAAUACCGGAGAAUGUUAUCACGGGAGACACACGGCGGGUGCUAACGUCCGUCGUGAAGAGGGAAACAACCCAGACCGCCAGCUAAGGUCCCAAAGUCAUGGUUAAGUGGGAAACGAUGUGGGAAGGCCCAGACAGCCAGGAUGUUGGCUUAGAAGCAGCCAUCAUUUAAAGAAAGCGUAAUAGCUCACUGGUCGAGUCGGCCUGCGCGGAAGAUGUAACGGGGCUAAACCAUGCACCGAAGCUGCGGCAGCGACGCUUAUGCGUUGUUGGGUAGGGGAGCGUUCUGUAAGCCUGUGAAGGUGUGCUGUGAGGUAUGCUGGAGGUAUCAGAAGUGCGAAUGCUGACAUAAGUAACGAUAAAGCGGGUGAAAAGCCCGCUCGCCGGAAGACCAAGGGUUCCUGUCCAACGUUAAUCGGGGCAGGGUGAGUCGACCCCUAAGGCGAGGCCGAAAGGCGUAGUCGAUGGGAAACAGGUUAAUAUUCCUGUACUUGGUGUUACUGCGAAGGGGGGACGGAGAAGGCUAUGUUGGCCGGGCGACGGUUGUCCCGGUUUAAGCGUGUAGGCUGGUUUUCCAGGCAAAUCCGGAAAAUCAAGGCCGAGGCGUGAUGACGAGGCACUACGGUGCUGAAGCAACAAAUGCCCUGCUUCCAGGAAAAGCCUCUAAGCAUCAGGUAACAUCAAAUCGUACCCCAAACCGACACAGGUGGUCAGGUAGAGAAUACCAAGGCGCUUGAGAGAACUCGGGUGAAGGAACUAGGCAAAAUGGUGCCGUAACUUCGGGAGAAGGCACGCUGAUACGUAGGUGAAGCGACUUGCUCGUGGAGCUGAAAUCAGUCGAAGAUACCAGCUGGCUGCAACUGUUUAUUAAAAACACAGCACUGUGCAAACACGAAAGUGGACGUAUACGGUGUGACGCCUGCCCGGUGCCGGAAGGUUAAUUGAUGGGGUUAGCGCAAGCGAAGCUCUUGAUCGAAGCCCCGGUAAACGGCGGCCGUAACUAUAACGGUCCUAAGGUAGCGAAAUUCCUUGUCGGGUAAGUUCCGACCUGCACGAAUGGCGUAAUGAUGGCCAGGCUGUCUCCACCCGAGACUCAGUGAAAUUGAACUCGCUGUGAAGAUGCAGUGUACCCGCGGCAAGACGGAAAGACCCCGUGAACCUUUACUAUAGCUUGACACUGAACAUUGAGCCUUGAUGUGUAGGAUAGGUGGGAGGCUUUGAAGUGUGGACGCCAGUCUGCAUGGAGCCGACCUUGAAAUACCACCCUUUAAUGUUUGAUGUUCUAACGUGGACCCGUGGAUCCGGGUUGCGGACAGUGUCUGGUGGGUAGUUUGACUGGGCGGUCUCCUCCUAAAGAGUAACGGAGGAGCACGAAGGUUGGCUAAUCCUGGUCGGACAUCAGGAGGUUAGUGCAAUGGCAUAAGCCAGCUUGACUGCGAGCGUGACGGCGCGAGCAGGUGCGAAAGCAGGUCAUAGUGAUCCGGUGGUUCUGAAUGGAAGGGCCAUCGCUCAACGGAUAAAAGGUACUCCGGGGAUAACAGGCUGAUACCGCCCAAGAGUUCAUAUCGACGGCGGUGUUUGGCACCUCGAUGUCGGCUCAUCACAUCCUGGGGCUGAAGUAGGUCCCAAGGGUAUGGCUGUUCGCCAUUUAAAGUGGUACGCGAGCUGGGUUUAGAACGUCGUGAGACAGUUCGGUCCCUAUCUGCCGUGGGCGCUGGAGAACUGAGGGGGGCUGCUCCUAGUACGAGAGGACCGGAGUGGACGCAUCACUGGUGUUCGGGUUGUCAUGCCAAUGGCACUGCCCGGUAGCUAAAUGCGGAAGAGAUAAGUGCUGAAAGCAUCUAAGCACGAAACUUGCCCCGAGAUGAGUUCUCCCUGACCCUUUAAGGGUCCUGAAGGAACGUUGAAGACGACGACGUUGAUAGGCCGGGUGUGUAAGCGCAGCGAUGCGUUGAGCUAACCGGUACUAAUGAACCGUGAGGCUUAACCU